ACGCUCGACACCUACGGGGCAGCAGUGGGGAAUAUUGGGCAAUGGGCGCAAACCUGACCCAGCAACGCCGCGUGAAGGAAGAAGGCUUUCGGGUUGUAAACUUCUUUUGUCAGGGAACAGUAGAAGAGGGUACCUGACGAAUAAGCCACGGCUAACUACGUGCCAGCAGCCGACGGUAAUCUGAGCGGGCUGGCAAGGC
rnacentral:rRNA from 1 species